ensembl:lncRNA
UCCAGGAAUUCGUAGAUGGCACAGGCAUGGCUGACAAGGCUGAGGCUCACAGCGUUUAAAAUAGCUGAGACUUAAGUGUUUUCACCUUGCAGGUCAUGCAGGCACACACUGAGGCACAUACAUAGACAUGCACACACACAUACACACUGAGGCACAUACAUAGACAUGCACACACACAUACACACUGAGGCACAUACAUAGACAUGCACACACACACCCACAUACACACUGAGGCACACACAUAGACAUGCACACACACACACACACUGAGGCACACACAUAGACAUGCACACACACAUACACACUGAGGCACACACAUAGACAUGCACACACACACACACACACACACACACACACACACACUGAGGCACAUACAUAGACAUGCACACACACACACACACUGAGGCACACACAUAGACAUGCACACACACACACACACACACACUGAGGCACAUACAUAGACAUGCACACACACACACACACACACACACACUGAGGCACAUACAUAGACAUGCACACACACACACACACACACACACACACACACACACACUGAGGCACAUACAUAGACAUACGAACACACAUUCUUAGACUGGCACACACCAUACAUACACCAUACAUACAUGCAAACACACCACUGGCAUACACAUAUACAUAGACACACAAACUAGCACUCACACGCUCUCACACACAUACACACACACACUUACAUAUAUUCAUAUUCACACACACACAUUUACACACACAUACUCACAUGGUCACAAAAAACACACACACACACAUAUUCACACAC